rnacentral:rRNA from 1 species
GAUGAACGCUGGCGGCGUGCUUAACACAUGCAAGUCGAACGGUGAAGCAGGAGCUUGCUCUUGUGGAUCAGUGGCGAACGGGUGAGUAACACGUGAGCAACCUGCCCCUGACUCUGGGAUAAGCGCUGGAAACGGCGUCUAAUACUGGAUAUGUGAUGUGACCGCAUGGUCUGCGUCUGGAAAGAAUUUCGGUUGGGGAUGGGCUCGCGGCCUAUCAGCUUGUUGGUGAGGUAAUGGCUCACCAAGGCGUCGACGGGUAGUCGGCCUGAGAGGGUGACCGGCCACACUGGGACUGAGACACUGCCCAGACUCCUACGGGAGGCAGCAGUGGGGAAUAUUGCACAAUGGGCGGAAGCCUGGUGCAGCAACGCCGCGUGAGGGAUGACGGCCUUCGGGUUGUAAACCUCUUUUAGCAGGGAAGAAGCGAAAGUGACGGUACCUGCAGAAAAAGCACCGGCUAACUACGUGCCAGCCGCCGCAGUAA